rnacentral:misc_RNA from 1 species
GAUGAAGAACGUAGCGAAAUGCGAUAAGUAGUGUGAAUUGUAGAAUUCAGUGAAUCAUCGAAUCUUUGAACGCACAUUGCGCCCCUUGGUAUUCCAUGGGGCAUGCCUGUUCGAGCGUCAUUUGUACCUUCAAGCUUUGCUUGGUGUUGGGUGUUUGUCCUGAGGGACUCGCCUUAAAGUAAUUGGCAGCCAGUGUUUGGUUUUGAAGCGCAGCACAAGUCGCGAUUCAAAGCUAUACGCCCGCUUCCACAAGCCUUUUUCACUUUUGACCUCGGAUCAGGUAGGGAUACCCGCUGAACUUAAGCAUAUCAAUAAGCGGAGGA